AGUUGUUGAAUAUUGCUUUGUUAUGAUCAUUUGUAGAGCCAAGGGCUUCUGCAAAGUUCUAUUGGUCUUUGAGAACAAUACCUCCCAUAUACCUCCCAUUGAUUCGCAUAACUGAGCUGGUGAACAAUUCCUCUGAAGGUUUGUAGCUGAGAGGAAGACAUUUCAGUCUUUCUAAUUUUCUGAGGUCAUCUUGCAUAGCAGAUUGGAGAUCAUUGGUAAAAUUAGAUUGCAUUGGUUAGUUGCAUUGGAGGCAUAUUGGAGGCGUUGGAGGACUGAUUUUAUUAUUACUUGAAGUUUGAUGUAAAGUUACAGUCAUAUUGGACAGCCAUUGGAAACCACGAUUUCACUCAUGGAGGGUUCAUACUACAUCGAUUCCACUUGCUAGUUGGAGCGCCCUCUUCCUUGGGUCAUAGCAAUGGAGUUUAGUGCUUAAAGAGAGACAAAGGGGCUGCCAUUUAUUUAUUAUUGACAUUCAUAUUAGAACAAGGGCAAUUUUGGAAAAGUGGUCGAUUUGGCAAGAGGAGAGUAUAAAGUGUAUUGAUAUUGUGUGCUUCUUCAUCCUCACACCUAGGCGCUUCAUCCAGGUUAAUAAAUUAUUGGAGAGAGUUGAGGAAACGUUUACAAAACACUUUGCAACUGGAAACCAAAGCAAAGUUGUAAAGAUAUUAAGGCCAACAAUAAAAAGGCAAAGACAUAGACUUACCUUUUUUAUAGGAUUUUUUACUGGCUGCUCCAUUGCCCUCUUAGUGGCACUCAUUCUACUCAUAGUGACUCGAAAUGUUUACAAUGAUAAUGGGGCUACCCGCUAUAUGGAAUCCGUUUUUCCUCU